UAAUGAAUAUUAGUAUGUUAAAACUGUUAUAUACAAAAAUAUUAGAGUUAGAAUUUUGGGAGCUUUCUUUGUUCCUUUUAUAUUCGUAAUUGAAUUUGCUUGGAAAAUAGACUCUUGAAUUAGAAAGGAAAAAAUCAUCACAAUCUCUGUGUCUUUCUAUUCCCUACCACCGCCCCUUCCCCACCUAAGUUCCCCUACAAAAAGGAACAAACAAUUGAGACGCACAGAAGACUCCCAGGCACUUUGAGGGUCGAGCUCCCAGGGACAGUUAACCUGGGUCUUAGAUGUAUCGAGGCAGAAACCACCUGGUCCUGAGUGCCGAUUUGCUGAGCCUGGCCUGUUUUCUCCUGCUUUUGUUCUCUCUCUCGACUCGCUGUCUGCAUCAGUCAUUCUGCAAACACCCCAGGCUUGGAGCCAGGCUCUGCAGAAGCAUUCCCCACAAGCUUCUGUUAAACUGCAAGCAUCCAAAUGCCUUUAGAACACCUCCAUGUGAAGGAGGCCCUCAGAACACUGGACGUGGUGAAGCUUCGACCCUCUACAGCUGUCACAGGCAAAUUUCUCAAGCACAUUCCUAGGAAUCCCAUCUCGCAGAGGCCUUUCAAAAACCUUGGACUGGGAUGCUUAGUUUGAAGAAUUCAUGAUAAAUGUCAAACUAACUGGCCUAUCAGGCUUUGUUAUCUAAUUGAUCUGCCAGAUCAGGUCAACUGUUCUGACAGAAGUCAGUGUCAUUUUAAAUCCAAAUAAAAGUCUUGAUACGGGUCCCAUGA
rnacentral:lncRNA from 1 species